UACGUAGGGUGCGAGCGUUGUCCGGAAUUAUUGGGCGUAAAGAGCUCGUAGGCGGUCUGUCGCGUCGGUCGUGAAAACUUGGGGCUUAACCCUGAGCUUGCGGUCGAUACGGGCAUGACUGGAGUUCGGUAGGGGAGACUGGAAUUCCUGGUGUAGCGGUGAAAUGCGCAGAUAUCAGGAGGAACACCGAUGGCGAAGGCAGGUCUCUGGGCCAUAACUGACGCUGAGAAGCGAAAGCAUGGGGAGCGAACAGG
rnacentral:rRNA from 1 species